CCGCCAGUUACCCGUAUAUUGGCUCACCCCCCGGUAAUACCAAAAAAUUAAGGUUUUGAGCAACACUGCUUGGAUUUUCACAAUUUGAUAUUGCUAGGAUACCAAACAAACCAUUAUUAAAAUAAACAAAACUUAUAAUGGAAAACCAAUAAAACAGUCAGUCCAGCUGGAAUUGUAUUUUUUGCACACACUAGAAGAAAGUCAUGUCUCCCAUUUCAAUGCAUUGUUUCUUGAUGUGCACGAUCGAUCGACUUCCGAUCCUGAUUGGACCACAUGCCGACAUCAAAUAUUUGAACACACUGAACAUUGUCCCCAACUCGGAGCAGGACAGGGCUUCCUGAAAACAAUCGAAAACUUCCUUACACUCCGAUUUUCACAUUGUCAACAAGCCUCCCGAACGCUGCUCGGCAAUCUGCAGAGGAUGCUCUUCGACACGACUCAGCUGGAUUCGUAGAAUUUCCUGUACAGGGAGUUUUCUCCGCUGCUUGAAAUUCCUUUUCUGCACCUCAUUACUUCACUCGCCGGAGUUACCGUGUGCUAUACCGAAACCUGGCUACAGUGUUUCAUUGCAGUAUUUCUGGUGUGCAGUCCCGCAUAAACGAGAAAAAUAAAUGGAUUAUUUGUACUAUAGUUUUAUAGUGCCGAUAGCUGGGUUCAACAA